rnacentral:rRNA from 1 species
UGCGAAGGGGGCUAGCGUUGUUCGGAUUUACUGGGCGUAAAGGGCGCGUAGGCGGGCUUUUAAGUCAGGGGUGAAAUCCCAAGGCUCAACCUUGGAACUGCCUUUGAUACUGGAAGUCUUGAGUUCGAGAGAGGUAAGUGGAACUGCGAGUGUAGAGGUGAAAUUCGUAGAUAUUCGCAAGAACACCAGUGGCGAAGGCGGCUUACUGGCUCGAUACUGACGCUGAGGCGCGAAAGCGUGGGGAGCAAACAGG